UGUUGUUGGGGGAGGGGAAAGGGAGUUCGCUUGAACGACCGUUACUUUUUUCUUCACGGCACUCGCUCACCAAGUGAAGUGAUGCAGCAACUUUCAACAGAGGAGCUUUUGAAGUCUGAGAAACACGUGUGCAGGAUGGAAUAAUCUUUGUGAAAGAGGAGGCACAGCUAUCCAGAGGUAAGGUUGAGUAAAAAUGUAAGGAAAUUAGGGUGGUAAUAAAACUGUCAACUGCAAAUGAUUGCUAGCUAACAUUAUAUCGAUAAGUAGCAGGUUAGCUGCUGCUAACAACCUAGUGCUAGCUCAUGAAAGCCAUCAAUUUUGAUAUUUCAAAGGGUGUUCACAUGCCUUCAAUAAUGCAUGACUAUCAUAAUUAAGAUUAAGGAGGAAGACUCUGUUGUGUGCUUUACCUAUCUUUGUCCUUGUAUUUGUAUAACCCAACUAGGCAUUGUUUAGCUAACUAGCAUAGCACAUCAUUUUUAGCAUCGGGCUAUUAGCAGCUAAACGUUUCCAGAAUGGCUUGUUGUGGUAACCGCAGAUUAAACAAUCUGAAUAUGAGCAGAAUAAGUGCUAACAACGAAAGUACCUGGGAUCUAAUGGCUAUAUCAUUCAUGGAGAUGAGGCGAACAAAGGAAUGAGGAGGAGUUUGGAAGAGUUGUACAGUCCACAGAACUUGCAAGUUGCAAUAACUAUCUAUGACAGAUAUCUUACCACUGCUGUCAUAGGCGCCGUGGACACCACUACUCUUGAAUGUAAGAUACUGUAUGAGAACGUCCUGUUGAUCAAGUAAGGUCCAGAAGUUGAAGAGGGGCCUCCAUUGUCUACUUAAACUUUAUUGAGCACCCUCUCCUGAACAAUAUGCUGGCUUUUGCUUUUGAGUUUGACAUUGAAUCUUGGUGUAUUUUUAGGCUCUUCUUUUUUUAAAAGCACAUAAUAUUCCACUCAAUUGUAGGGGUUGGGACAUGUUUCUGAUUGUCUUAAUAAUGGGUUGAUCUGUGCACUCCUUCUUGAGCUACACCGAGCAAAAGUGGUUUCAUUUAGUUCAUUCAGGAUAUGGUCUUCAAUUUCAAUGAUGGGAGAAAGCAGUUCAAACCCAAGCUACAAAUGAUCUGGAGUGAAGUUAACAGGUUUUGUAGAUUGCCUUAAUAAUUAUAAUUUGGCUUGCAUUGCCUAAAACUGUUCAAUCACAUAGUUUCAUAUUGAAUGAAUUUAUUCAGUCAUGAGUUUUUAGCACCUAAAUAAACUGUUUAGAUGAGUUUAAUGUGUUAAAACCAAAUUAAAAGGUUUAAGGCAAUCAUUUUCCUGAAAUGAACUGAAUAGCUACAAAAAAGUUUUAAGUUGUCACAACAAGAAUGGUUGAAGUAGUUUCAAGUCAUCGUUCUUCUCAAACAUGUUGAGGGAUAUUUUGUUUUACAAUGCACUGUAAAUUAGUGGGAAACUGUAGAAAUGCAAUGCCUCAUUUGAUGUUAGAAUAAACGUAUAACUGUUGGAACUAACUGAUGGUGUAUUGUUAUGAUGUUGUUUUUUAUUAUGGUAUAUGUUUGAUCAUGUAUGUAACAUAUCUAAAAUAAGAGUAAAAAACACAUUAAAAUGUACAGCAGCAAAAAAAAAAUCUUCCCCGUAAAAAAAAAAAAAAGCUAAAA